AUGCUCCUAGAGCCAGACUGGAAAUAUCUCCCACCCCCACCUCUGAUCCGUGACCUCACCUUGGGUCCCUGGUCUCCCUUCUCUCCUUUGGGACCCUGGCAAAACAAACAAACAAAUCAAUAUUCUUUGGUUUUCUUCUAUUCACUUUGCUCACUCUCCAUCUAUCCUCCCAUCUUCCCAUCUCUCCCUAAGCUCUUUCAUGGGUUUUGUCCCAGCCAAUGGGAGCAAAAGAUGAGGGGAAAAUUCCUCUUCCAGACUAGGAAGGAAGGAACGCUUCACCGAGAGCCAGAGGACCAGAGGCCCUCUCCCAGCACAGGGUGAGUGUCCUCUUGACCCUGCAUCUCAGAGCCUUCUGCAUCUGCGGGAUGGGGGAGGGUCCUCCUAUCCGAUCAUGGAUGGGGCUGUGCUGGGUCCCACCGCGAGACUCUGCCUGGCCUAAACUGAAGUGCUCAGCUCUGGAUCCCACGAGACAAAGAUCAUGAGAUCCCGGGGGCUGGUCCUCUUGAGAGCAGGUAUUACAGCAGAAGAUGGACAACGCCUCCCCGGGACUCGACACCAAGGGGGACGGGCACCUGUCAGGAGCACGGGGUUUGGAAACGGGCAAAGUAUGAGUAUUGAAUGGGGCAGCAGGAAGGAGGCAAGGAAGCAGAGAUGCUUAAUGGUAAGGGACUGGAGAGGGAGAGAUAAAGAUGAUUUUCAAGUUCUCCCACAUGAUGUUUUGUGAAAAACUUGUGUGCUGCUGCAAAGAAACCAGCUGUGAAGAGCAUCUGGACUCCCCAUUGCACAGCUGGAAGCAGGAGGCACAGAGAGGGUGAAUUCUGAAAGGAGCAGAGCCAGGAGGGCACCCCACAGCCUCCUGACUCCAGCGUGACAGCAGGACAACCCUCAAAACAAAGAUUUCAAAAGUCAACCCACACUUGAAGCUGUUGGUCCAGAGAUUCUGGGUUCAUGCAACAGCCUGAUGCUCCCAGAGCCUUCGGUAUCCUAGGGAAGGAAGAAGAAUGGGAAUUUCAGGUCCAAUUCCUGAGUACCUCCUUGAGCCAGGUAUGGCGCAGGGGGCCAGGGCUCAGAGGGAAGUGGGCGCGGUCUCUGCCCUCGGCCCGGCGGGCAGUUAGCCGGUCCGCCCAGCAGUCCUUCAUGCACACGGUUCUUAAACCACAGAAAGGGGGCAACGUACCUCGAAUCCAAGUCCCGUUGCACAUCCAGGGCCUGGGGGCCCAGGUUCACCAGCAGCUCCAUCCUCUCCAGGAGAUCCAGGGGGGCCCAUGAAAAUAUCAGUUCCUGGUUUUCCUGGAAUCCCAGGUGAGCCAGGUGGGCCUGGGGGGCCUGGGGGACCCUAAAAAACAGAUGCUCUGUUAAGAAAUAGUGGGGGAGGGGAUAAAUGUACACUGAGCAUGUAUGUUCCACCCAUUCUCUCCAUUCCUUCCAACAACCCUCCAAGUAGAGACUGGUGUUCCCACUUAGCAGAUGGGGAAACUGAGGCUCAGUGAGAUGACGUGACUUGCUCUAGGGCUCACACACUCACAGCUAAUUAUUAGAAGAGCAGGAAUUUGAAUCCAGGUCUUUCUGACUCAUUAUAACCUGUUUUCUCCCAAUAAAAAUCCAAUUCGUUGGAAUUUUCAGAGGAGCUCUAAUUUAGUUUUCUGAUUAAUGAAGAGGUCCAUCAAAAACCACCUGUUUUUGACCCUUGUUAAAAAUCUUCCUGCAGUGGUCUAGCCUUCUCAGCCUGGCGCCUGUGGCUGAUCUCAGCAGCCUGGAAGACCCACCUGGCUCCGUUCCACUCAUCGAGUGGGCCCAGAACCCUCCAGCCCUGUCAUGCCGAGUGGGCAGAGGGGCAGCCGAGGGGAGCCUGCUGGUUGGGGAUCCAGCAGAGGGGCUGCAGAGGAGGGGCUGCAGAGGAGGUUGGGGACCCGGGGACAGAGGCACCAGCUGCAGCUGGAGAAGGGAGGCGCUCAUCCGAAGCCAGGAACUGGGGGGCCCAGCUUGGGCAGGAA
rnacentral:lncRNA from 1 species